rnacentral:rRNA from 1 species
UACGGGGGGGGCAAGCGUUGUUCGGAAUUACUGGGCGUAAAGGGCUCGUAGGUGGCCAACUAAGUCAGACGUGAAAUCCCUCGGCUUAACCGGGGAACUGCGUCUGAUACUGGAUGGCUUGAGUUCGGGAGAGGGAUGCGGAAUUCCAGGUGUAGCGGUGAAAUGCGUAGAUAUCUGGAGGAACACCGGUGGCGAAGGCGGCAUCCUGGACCGACACUGACACUGAGGAGCGAAAGCUAGGGGAGCGAAUGGG